CACGUAGGGGGCGAGCGUUGUCCGGAUUUAUUGGGCGUAAAGAGCUCGUAGGCGGCUAAGUAAGUCGGGUGUGAAAACUCCAGGCUCAACCUGGAGACGCCACCCGAUACUGCUUUGGCUAGAGUCCGGUAGGGGAGCAUGGAAUUCCUGGUGUAGCGGUGAAAUGCGCAGAUAUCAGGAGGAACACCGGUGGCGAAGGCGGGUCUCUGGGCCGAUACUGACGCUGAGGAGCGAAAGCGUGGGGAGCGAACAGG
rnacentral:rRNA from 1 species